CGGAGGCAGCAGUGAGGAAUCUUGCGCAAUGGGCGAAAGCCUGACGCAGCAGCGCCGCGUGUGUGAUGAAGGUCUUCGGAUCGUAAAGCACUGUCGCGAGGGACGAAUAAGGGUCGGGAUAAUACCCCGGUCCGAUGACGGUACCUCGAGAGGAAGCACCGGCUAACUCUGUGCCAGCAGCCGCGGUAAUACAGAGGGUGCAAGCGUUGUUCGGAAUUAUUGGGCGUAAAGCGCGUGUAGGCGGCUCAGCCAGUCAGGUGUGAAAGCCCUCGGCUUAACCGAGGAAGUGCGCCUGAAACUACUGAGCUUGAGUACCGGAGAGGGCGGUGGAAUUCCCGGUGUAGAGGUGAAAUUCGUAGAUAUCGGGAGGAACACCAGCGGCGAAGGCGACCGCCUGGACGGCUACUGACGCUGAGACGCGAAAGCGUGGGGAGCAAACAGGAUUAGAUACCCUUGUAGUCC
rnacentral:rRNA from 1 species